GUGAUGGAGUGGUAGCUGACCAUCGCCACCGUUGGCGGCUCCACUUGAUUCCGGUGCGUCACCGACCCAAACCGACGGAACAAUGGCUGAUUGUUUAAGAGAGAGGUUGUGUAGACAAUGGCCUUGGCGACGGUUAGCAUUCCAACCAAAUCAGACCAGAUUCCAGUAAGAUCCGAACCCAUUUGCAUGUUUCAUUCUUUGUUAUAUCGGUUCAAAAUGAGUCUUGUAAGGAGAAUCAGUUGAAGAUUCGGUGAGCAGAUUAUAGUUUGUACGAGAGUUUUUCAAGUGAAUCGGUAACUCUCCAUGCCGACUCUACAUAUAAGGUUACUGAAGAUAGAUCCAAUCUUCUAUGUCUUUGCUUAAGAUAGUUUUCGUAUCUGGUGAAACUGGUUGUGGAAAGACAACUCAUGUUUCGAUCCUUAUCUCUACAAAUAGAUUACCAAGCUCUUGGUCAAAACUUUAUCUCGUCUUUUAUUCAUGAAUCUGCAUCACGAUCACCUCACGAACUCUCCUACCAUCGAUGCUCUUAUUUCUCACCAACACAGGUGUGCUUUAGAAGCAUAAAGCUAUAAAAAGAAUGGUUUGGAAUACAUAGCUCAUGCGCCAGAGUAAAAGAACAAGGAACAAGGCGGAUGUUCUAUUAUUCUUUUGGUAUUCCUUUUAGAUUAGACCAAUAAUUGUAACCUGUUGUGGAGAUGUUUUGGAUGGUACUAUAUGGUAUUGGUAAUUGAAACAAAUUGUUCAAUUUUUCUAUCGAUUUGAUAUUGGUUUUACAGACCUCAACAUCUCUUCUAUUUUGUUAUAUUAAUUUUUCCGAUGUCUUCAAUUUA